rnacentral:rRNA from 1 species
CCUACGGGAGGCAGCAGUGGGGAAUCUUGCACAAUGGAGGAAACUCUGAUGCAGCGAUGCCGCGUGAGUGAAGAAAGCCUUUGGGUUGUAAAGCUCUUUUGUAGGGGAAGAUAAUGACUGUACCCUAAGAAUAAGGUCCGGCUAACUUCGUGCCAGCAGCCGCGGUAAUACGAAGGGACCUAGCGUAGUUCGGAAUUACUGGGCGUAAAGCGCGCGUAGGCCGUUGAGUUAGUUAAUUGUGAAAUCCCAAAGCUUAACUUUGGAACUGCAAUUAAAACUGCUCGACUAGAGUUUGAUAAAGGAAAGCGGAAUACAUAGUGUAGAGGUGAAAUUCGUAGAUAUUAUGUAGAACACCAGUUGCGAAGGCGGCUUUCUGGAUCAACACUGACGCUGAGGCGCGAAAGUAUGGGUAGCAAAGAGGAUUAGAUACCCUCGUAGUCCAUACCAUAAACGAUGAUUGCUAGAUGUUGGAAAUUUAUUUCAGUAUCGCAGCUAACGCAUUAAGCAAUCCGCCUGGGGAGUACGACCGCAAGGUUAAAACUCAAAUGAAAUUGACGGCUGAGAGUGCGAGCGACACGAGGAGAG